GGAGGAUCAGCUCAGUGGUAGAGCGCUUGCUUUGCACACACGGAGUUCUAGGUUCAAUCCCCAGUACCUCCA
rnacentral:tRNA from 1 species